UAGACUGUUUUAGGUGUGCUUAAGAUUUACAGUAGUGAGCUUAAAACUGGAAGUCGUUCCGCCUCUCCACGAACUACAAUUUUACCAUGUACCAUGCACCCAAGAAAAAAGAAAAGUUUGGUCAAUUUAAACCCUCUCUCUCUCCCUAUCGUAGAACUUGUCAUAUUUGUAAUAAAAUGAAUUAAAAAGUUUAUAGUUUUAAUAUUGUAUCACUGGUACCUGUGCUUUCAUCACAUUGAAUGUCAGUGUUUGUGCUACAUUGCAGCUCCAGAAUAAGUUUUGAUCUUGUACAUAUUUUUUUGUACAUGUUCAUGUAUCUGAUAGUAAUUACUACAACUUGAGAAGGAGAUGAUGCACAUUUUACUUAUAAUUACACAAUCAAGAAUGACACUGUGGAUUGCUUUUCUACUCACUGAAAGUAAGUAAUUAUCUAUCAACAUUAAAUAUUUACAAUUUGUCCGUUGUAUAAGUGUGAAGUCUUAUUUUAAAAAAAAUUGAAGUGUGUAUUUCCAUAACGUUUUCUUUAUAACUCCUUGGAUGAGAAAUGCAUUCGAUGUUUGUAAAAUCUUCUCCGUCUGUUUUACAAGCUACAUGUAAUUGUUUACAAUAUAACUAUCACAAAGGCGAUAUUUUUUCUAAAUAUUUUUGAAUUUCUUGCCUUGAAACAUUACAAAAGCAUUGUAUACGAUUUUCAGUGGCGAGUGUUAGGUUUUGGUCCGAUUACAAGUCGACUAUACACUAACACACAUGGUUAUUUUGACGAAUUGUUUUGUUAUGAACAUUACUGAAAAUUAAAAUCCCCAGGAAAUUCUUAGAAAAAGCCUCUUCUACAAUUUUGGUCCGAUUUAAAAUUAAUAGAAAAUUUCAACGAACGUUUUUAUGAAGUUUUAAAAAAAAUUCUACAAUAUUCUUUCUAAAUGCUACUCCUUCUACCUAUACAGUUUUAAUGUGGUCUUAUUGAGACUUGUUACACAAGCUGGCUACACUAAGAAAAUAAAAUCUUAAAAAAUAUUUUGAUGAACGAUGUUGAGAAACCCAGCUGCUUCAAGUUCAAGCAUUCCUUCUGUGAUGUACAUAGGAAACAAGAUCCAUACCGUGUCAUUUAGUGUAACACAAGGCAAUGCUACAAUAUGUUAUUGAUGUGCACUAUAAUCAUGGUUCUUCGAAAAAUACUGCUAGAUCAUGUCUGAAAAAAUUACGACGAACUGUGCGACAUUAUGUAAUAAUUUUUAAAAGCUAUUCUAGAAAUGCACAUGGUGGCCGGUAUGUAAAGAAAUCUUGCUGUAGAGGAUUUCAAACGAUUUAUUUGUUAAAAUUUAAGUAAAACAGGAAAAAGUCGACAGGAGUUAAAAAAUCUAAUGUUUAGGUAUUGAUCCUUGCACUUUCAGCUCACCUGUGCUGAAAUCUAAAGUGAGCUUUCCUAAUCAUCUGGCGUCUGUCUGUAAACUUUUCACCAUUUUUGACUAAUCAAAAAUCUCUGGGCCAAUUUUUGCCAAAAUCAGGGAAAAAACAUCCUUGGGUGAAUGGAAUUCUUAAUUAUUCAAAUGAAUGGUAAAACCCCCUUCUAAGGGGAGAAAUCAAGAAAAAGCAAGAAUAGGGUGGAUCCAUUAAAAAAAGGUCUUAAGAACCACAGGGUUAGAAAAGGUAACUAAUGUGGAAGCUUUCUAAAAUAGUGUAGAUUCUAAAUUGUUCAAAUCUAGGGAAGGCCCAUAAUACGAAAUUAAAAAGUUUUACUCUGAAAUACAUAGGGAAAAAGAACCACUGGGCCAGAAUAGAUGAAACUUACGUAAAAGCUUUCAGACAAUUUCAGAUUCUAAAUAUUUCAAAUUAUGGCUGCCGGGGGUUGGGUAGGGUAUAAAGAAAAGAUAUUCAAAAUUCUUCAAAAGAAUCAUUCGAGCAGAAACGGUGAAAUGUUAAUGAAAGCAUCCUGAUGUAUAGUGUUGAUUCUAAGUUGUUCAAAUCAUGCCCCGGGAAUAGGAUCGGGCCACAAUAAGAGAACAAAGUUUUUACUUUAGACUGUGAAAGAAAAUAAUUAAAGUCAACUCCCCCCCCCCCCCCCAAAAAAAAAAAAAAACAUUAAUCAUAAAAUCAUUUGCAAAUAUUUCCAAGUUGUUUUGAAUCUUUUUUUUUUUUUCUUAAAAUUUCUGACCCCUGGGUGAGAGUUGGCUAAAAUCAGAAUAAAAUUUUACACUACACAUGUAUACAAAAAAUCUUAAUAACUGCAAGGCCAUGUAAGUCAUUGAUAUUUAAGCAGUACCAUGUUGUGUGGAUUUAGAAACCCCUUACAGUCAGGGUGGGGCAGAGUGAGGGAGGGCCAUAAUACGAGUCACAAUUUUUCAUUGGAAUAAAAUUCUUUUUAAAAAGUGAUGGAAGAACAGUAGUGCUUUAACUGAGGGGAGCGUUGUGGCUCAUGUGUCUCUUGUUUGAAUUAGUGUAGUAUUGGAUUUCCCAAAUUAAGAUAACCGAGAUCAUUUUGAGGGAAUUUUUUCUUGUAUUAUUCAGAAUCAAUAUUAGAUGACAAACUCAACAGUAGUAAUGUUGAGAAAAGUCAUAUAGAAGGAUCUGGAAAUGUUAAGAAAAAGUGUCUGUCGGGAACAAUAAUAAUAUAUGCAUGUCAUUUCAAAUGACACUAGUAAUUGAGACCUAUGAAUUCUAAUGGAUAGAUCUAGAGAACGAGAAAAUCCAGAUUGAAUACUGUACCAAACCGAAAUUUAUUUCCUGGUAUAUGUAAUGUCAUUAUUAAAUGUCAUUAUCUUUUUUUUUUUGAAUAGCUUGUGAUUCAGCGUUAAUGUAAUGCCCCAUUGUUUUUGUCAUUAACAGGAUCCAGUCUAUGGCGGGUGAGCAGAGUAGAGCAAUUUUGAUCAGAGGAAUCAAUCAAAGGCAAUCAGAACUGAUGCUGAAGAUCUAAAUCCUAUUAAGGAAGUUAAAAAAAUAUUUAUUAAAAAACAUCUCAGGAUUGGCUUCCAGACAGUCGGCAGUUCCACCAAGUCACCUAAAAGGAUGAAAAAAAGCAAUAAAAAUGAAAUGGAAAACAAAAACAAAAUCAACAUGGACAAUAUGUGGCGGUUGUCAGAACAAAUACAAGUGAUGAUGUGAAGUGAUGAAACAUUUCUUAAGAAAUUAUUGUCAGUAAUUUCGUGUUUAAUCGUCUUGGAAAAUGCAAUUGAUGAAAAAUAAAUGAUAUUGAAAUGAAAUGGAAUCAUUAUAUUAAGCAGAUUUUCUUGAAUGAAAAGAUGGUUGAUUGUUGAGUGGAAAGCCAUGUUUAUUGAUAAUGGUUAUUUCAAAAUGAAACAUAAAGUACUUUAUUGACAUUUUUGUAAUCUUCGUAGACCAGGUCUUUCAAUAAACUGUUGGAAUUUCGA